UUUUUUUUUUUUUUUUUUUUUUUUGACAGGGUCUCCCUAUGUAGACCAGGCUGGCCUUGAACAUAAAGAUAUCUGAAAAAAAAAAAAAUCUGCCUGCUUUUGCCUCAUAAGUGCUGGGUUUAGAGACAUGUGCCACUACACUUGAGCCCAUUUAGCAAGGAUCCUCCCAUGCACAUAUCUGGUUAUCCCUAGAUACCCUAGAUAAUUGACUACAGUUUUCCUUCUGUAACAUUCCGCAGGUGAUAUCUGAUCACCCUGACCUGCCUUUAGCAAGAGUCUUUCUAGGUUGUUUUAGCUAGAACCCUCUUAAGUUCUGAAGCCACCUGCUGAUUCUUAGCCCCCCUUUCUCAUUGGCUAAAAAGAACCUGUUUGCUGUUGCUUGUAAUUAGAGUUGAGCCCAGCUUCUUUCCUCUUUUACAGAAUUUCAUUGCAGAGAUCUCUGUGCCUGGGAGAUUGUCUUGAAUACACUCUGCCUUACCAUGCUUUAACAAGUAUCACUGAAUAGCUUUUCCUUUAACAGUUAUGGUGGUGUGGCAUGGAUAGGAUCAGAUUCAUCAUUGGACCCCCGGACCUCUCACCCAGGUCUCCCAAAUAUACACCUUUGAAGCCUUUGUCUUCAUUCCUGACUGAUUGAUCGGGGAUCCAAUGGUUAGUCAGACUGGUGAACCAUUGCUCUGGACAGACAUCCAUUGGAGCUGGUGGUAAGGAGAGAUUUUGAUUCUUGAGAUUCUGAGUGCAGUUUCUAAUAUGGGGCAGAGUGCUACACUUCAUACCAGCUCUGCCUGAGGUCUUCCUGGACCUCUUUCCUGAGUCGGGGUUGUUUCCUGACUCCCUGGUGUAUUCUUUGUCCUCUGCAGAAUCUUUAUUUUUUCUUGAUUAGGUUCUGUUUCUCUGCCCUUACUGGAAACUCUGGCAAUAAUGUGUUCUGCUAACUCUAUCCACUUAACUGUCCACUUCCUAAUUACUGGAAUUUUAUUGUCCUCUUUUGGGGAACUUACGGUCUCCCUAUACUGGUUCUUCUUAAUAUCACCCCCUUCCAUCCCUCUGAGUCUUUUGAUAAUCUCUGAAAAUCCCUCUCUUGCAUUUGUCUAUCCACCUUUGUCAGUCCACAUUCUAUUUUUGCUGCUUCCCUUUCAGGCUACCUAUUAUUAUCCAUUGGAGAUUCUCGAGACUAAUAGACCUCAAAUAGUAAUUGUGUAAGUCUGAAAAACACUGAAGUAUUACUUUAAUCUAUAUUCAGAUGGGCUUUGGAGAUACCUAAAUGCUCCUAUGUGUCUCUGUAACCCUCCUAAGAUUGAUUAUGUGGCCUGACAAAAUAAUUUUUAAAAUUUUUAAUCAGCAUAUAUUGAUUAUACAUAAUAACAGGUUUCAUUCUGACAUUUUCAUGCAUGCAUGUAAUGUAUGUUGAUCAUAUUUAUUCCCUACCCCCUUGUCCUCUCAUCUCCUACUCCUUCACUAAUCCUCUUCCUAAGUAGUCACAUUUCUACUUUUAGGUCUUUUUUUGUUUAUUUUUGUGACCCAGUGAGUUUCUUAGGGCUGUUUACAGAAACAUGGGCACCUUAUCUAUGGCUAUAGCAUUGAAGAAAAUGUCUAUCUCCAAUAACUCUUAGCCUCAUUAAGUGCUGGGGCCCAAGCUGAUAGUCUCCUCUACAAAUAUAUGUGUUUCACCUUAUCCUUUAGAAAUGUGUUCCUGUGCUGAACCUGCAUAGUAUCAAACCUAUACACGCUAUAAAAUUACCACUGCAGAAUAAUGGUGUUCACUUCUCCUUCCAUGUCUUGUGACCUGUUACUGCUUCUUCAUCGCUUGUGGGUUGGAACUUUAACAAAUUAAAGAAGUUAUUUGAACCCAAGCCACUGUAACACUAUAACACUUGAUCUAAUAAUCAGUAUAGCCAUUAAAUCAUUAAUGGGUGAUGAGGAUGUACUAGACAAAAGGAUGAUUUAUAUCCUGAAUGAAACAGCAUAAGGUUUUUUCUCAUUAAUCAAAAUGACACACAAUUUGCAACUUAGGAAUUGUUUACUUUUGUGCUUUUCCAUGUAACAUUUUUAUAUAUUAUUGACCUCCCAUGAUUGAAACUGCAGGAAGCAAGCUGUGGAUAAGGGAGAUGUACUGAAUUUGUAAAUAAUUAUCUUUCCUUCUUUGUUUUUCAGCAACAGUUUGGUUAAAAUGUAAAGUAUAGGAAAAACAACAGGUUUUUUGUUUGUUUGCUCAUUUGUUUGUUUUUACUUAAAACUUCCUUUGGGAGGCAAAGGAGUUUAAGGCCAACCUGAUCUAUAUAGUGAGUUCCAGGCCAACCUGGGCUAGACCCUAUCUCAAGAAAAGUAAAUAAAUAAGUGAGUUUAUGUUAGUGUUUUACUGGUUCAAGUAAAUCUUAGACUGAAAGAUGUAAUUUCUGUUUGCAUCUGUUUAUAUAGUAGUUUGUAUGUGUUAGGUAUGAAUGUUAAUAUGUUCGUGCAUUAAAAGGCUGGAAUUGACAUGAGGGGUCUUCUCCUGUUUUUUACCUUAGUUUUGAGCUGGGGUUUUCCACUGAUCUUGGAGUUCUGUUUUAGCUAACCUAGCUGGCCAGCUUGCUCUUGGGACUCUCCCUCCCCCUGCUGCCCCCAGAGCUGGGGUUACAUAUACUUGUGGCUGCACCUGAGUUUUAUGUGGAGCCUGCAGACUCAGAUCCUCAUACUGUCAUAAUAGCCCUGUAAUAUUUGUCUAGCUCUAGAUUAGAUUUCAACCUUGGGCUACAACCCUUCUGGCAAACCUGUAGCUCCAAAAAUAUUUACAUUACUGUUCUUAACAUUAGCAAAAUUACAGCUAUAAAGAAGCAACAAAAAUAAUUUUAUGGCUGGGGUCACCACAUCAUGAAGAACUGUGUUAGUUGUAUCAUUAGGGAGGCUGAGAACCACUGCUCUAGAUGGUAUUGCCAAAUUAAUUUAUACUUUUUUUUUUUUAAAAAAGAGUUCUUUUAAAAUUGACUAAGAAAAAAAAAAGACAGAAGGAAGGAGGGAAAGAAAGAAAAGAAGGAAGGAAAAGAAAAGAGCUAGGUGAUUGGUAACACAUACCUUUAAUUCUAGCACUUGGGAGGCACAGGCAAUGAGUUCAAGGCCAGACUAGUCUACAGAGUAAGUUAAGUUCCAGGACAGUCAGGGCUAUACAGAGAAACCCUGUCUCAAAACAAACAAACAACCCCAAAACCAAACAACGAAAACAAAACAAAACAAAACAAAAAAACCAAAAACCCAAGAAGAAAACAAACAAACAAGUAUAUGAAUAAGCAUAAAACUCUCAGAAAUAUAAUCCAUGUAUUUUUCAAAUUCAUAUUGCUUGGGUAAACCAUGUAUGAAUAAGAUUAGUCUAGUGUUGGGUUAAAACCAGCUGUAUUUUCAGAAUUGUCAACAUUGUGAUAAAGACAAUUUCACUUUAUCUGGGUUUCUACUCAGCUUGUUAUCUUCACUAAUGUUUGGACUAUGAAACUAUAAUUCAACCUGUGAACAGAAUGUGCACUAAAAUUAGUUACUUGAUGCACAUUGAAUCAGAGUCAAAAAGAAGAAAAAGAAAAGGAUAGUAUGUUUUUAAUUUUGUAGGGUUUUCUAUGAUACAUUUUUCUUUUCUGAGGGCUAUAGGCAGGCCUUGCGGAUGCUGAGCACAUGCUGUGCCACUAUCAGCCUGUGAGUCUUCUCCUCGAGACUGAUGCAGAGGUUAGCUUUCCUCAUGCUUUAGCCUCUUGAAUGAGGGAUGUAUAGCCAUGUACCUUCAUAUUCAAUUUUUAGUAAUAUUUUAAUUCUUACCUCUCUUAACAGAUAAGGAGAACAGAUUUUCUAUAAGAAUUUUAAUCAUAAUAAUCACAAAUGAGUCAGGCAGAUGUAAACAGAGUAAGUUUAUGAAUGAACUUUUUACCAGUCACUGUUUUUAUGUAAUAUGUCUAUGUAAAACAAUUAAGCCAUACUACUAAGUGAAAUGGUGAAAUUUAUUCAUUGAAUCUGUAGAUAAUUUCAAAGUAUGAUAAAAUUUGAGGCAUUAAUUGUCAGAUAUCUUCAAACUUAUAUAUACUUUAGAUGGCUUAAAUUCUAGAGGAAACAAAAUGUAUUUGAGCUUGUUAGUGAGUAUGUCCUGGACUGUAGAGAAAAAAAAUGUACUGUAGCCAUAUGCUUGCAGAGACUUAAAUAGUACGUUAAAUUUGUUAUUCUUAAGAUGCUGGUAUACGGCAGUUUACUUUUCAUCUUUUUUUCCCUUUAAAAUGUCUUAAGUAUUCUUUAAACUUGUAAAAAUCUUUACUGUUUUAUGUAUAUGGGUGUUUUACAUAUAUGCCUGCUGUCCAAGGAAAAGAUGAUAGAAUGUUGUCCUUGGAACUCAAGAUGGUUGUGAGCCAUCAUAUGGUUACUGGGAACUGAGACUGGGGUCCUCUGCAAGAACAACAAGUGCUACUAACCUCUGAGCUAUUUCUCCAGCCCUAAGUGGGAUGAUUUUUAUGUUAGGCUUGGGCGCAGUGAACACAUAAAGUCUAUUCUGCACACAUUCAGUGGUGGUAAUUCUGGGACAUGAAUACUCUCUAACUACAAAGACAGACUAGGAGAUUAAUCUAGUCAUGUGCUCAGAAGGAAAAAAAAUUUAAAGGGGUGUUGGGGGAGAGGAAAGCCAGCCUGGUGUCAGUGGAAGUUAGAAGAAGCUUAGAUCUCCCAGAAUUGGAGUUUCAGAUGAUUGUGAGCAGCCAUGUGAUUGGUGGGACUUGAACCUGGGUCCUCCUAAAGAGCAGCAGUGCUCUUAACUGCUGAGGCAUCUCUCUAGCUCCACAACAAGUUACUGUUAAUGUUGUUAGCUAAUCCUAAAAGCCACAAUGCUCUAUACAAGGAGAGAUGAAUAUAUUUUUGGUGUGAAAGGAUAUAAAGUACAAAGAUAUUUCUUAUUGCAUUUGUCUAUCUUAUUUAUUUGUGUAUGUGUGUGUAGAUCAGAGGACAAUUUGUGGGUCAAUUUAAGUUACCAAGCAUGCCAGUGGGCACCUUUACCUACUGGCCAUCUCACCCAGGCCCCAAAGAUACAUUUGUAAAGUUGAAGAAAAAGUAAUUUUGUGUUAGUAUGGAGUUAAUGCAAAAUGAAAAUGGAGAACAAAGAACAAAAAAUUUGAAUAGGUAUUAGAAAGUUGGGAAGAGUCUCAUGUAGUCAAGCUGGCUGAAUUGAAUCAAUUCUAAGAACUUUGAAAAAGAGCAUUAAUGUUAAUUGUUCUCCUCUGUACCAUUAAAAUAUAUUGUCUUUCAUUAACAAAAGGUUUUCUGAGGUCCACCUAUCAUCUCCUGAUUUGUUUUGUCUGUCCCUGACUUUUUCCUUGUUGUCUUUCUUUCUCUUCCACCUUCAGGAUUGGAUAGAUUGUAGGAUCUUAUAAAUUCUAAGCAUAUUCUCUGUCACUAAGCCAGCCACACCUCCAGCUUUCACCCCCAACCCCAACUAUAAUUGACCAGGCCCUGCUUAAGCUUCUGAUUGUCAGCCCUUACCAAGUCCUGUAGUUUGCUCUUGUACCUCUUUCCAGCUUUCUGAGGCAAUGUUUCCAUUUAUUCCCCAGCAUCCUGAUGUGAUGCAUAAUAAAACAGCCUUCCCCAAAGUUAUGUUAGCUAAACACCUCAUGACAUUUCAUGCAUUCAAGUAUUAAAUGGGAAAAUCUGACAGUUGCUAAGAUUUAUCCUAAAGAUACUUUGAGGCCAGCAUCUAAGAAUUUGUAGCUACAUCCCCACCCUCACCCCCUGGACAAGGUUUCUCAAUGUAGCCCUGGAUGUCUUGGAAUUUGAUCUGUAGACUAGGCUGGCCUCAAGUUCAGAGCUCUCCUUGUCUCUACUUGCUGAGUGCUGGGAUUAAAGGUGUGUGCCAUUACUGUCCAAAUGUAGCUAAUCUUUUCUGGACUUAAAAAAGCUUGAGUUUAAAUUUUGUUUUAGCCACUAAUCCUUGUUUCCCUUUUUCUUUUCAUAGAUCCUCCCCACCCAUUAAAUAUCUCAAGUGCUUAUACCACCUAGCAAUAUUCUUCUCUCCCUCCCUCUCUCCUUCCCUCCCUUCCUCCCUCCUUAAAAAAAAAAAAAGACAGACAGACAGAAAGAAG
rnacentral:lncRNA from 1 species